rnacentral:piRNA from 1 species
UGAGGAUUCCACAGCUAUGUAAUCAUUCCA